rnacentral:misc_RNA from 1 species
UAUAUCGUGGGUAUUCUUCAGCUCACUAUAGAGGCGGAGACUGGGAUUCAGGUGGAAGUUGUAACAAAGAGAGUGAACCUGUUUCGAAAGGUGCUAUCCUUGGAAACUAUCCGAUGAAAAUGAAGAUUGUGGAGGAGGUGAUUAAGGAAAUGCAGUUCCCAGUAGUCCUUUUAAACGUAACACAGUCAACCAAUUUCCGCAAGGAUGGUCACCCGUCUGUGUAUGGUAAGGUUGGUAAAAAGGG